GACGAACGCUGGCGGCGUGCCUAAUACAUGCAAGUCGAACGCCGUUGCGCACGGGUGAGUAACGCGUCGGUAACUGCCUCAUAGCGGGGGAUAACUAUUUGAAACGAUAGCUAAUACCGCAUACUGUGAGAUGGACCUGCGUUGUAUUAGCUAGUUGGUGGGGUAAAGGGUCACCAAGGCGACGAUACAUAGCCGGCCUGAGAGGGUGAUCGGCCAAACUGGGAAUGAGACACGGCCCAGGAUUCCACGGGGGGCAGGAGGAGGGAAACUUUGGAAAAGGGGGGAAAGCUGACUGCGCAACGCCGCGGGAGGGAAGAAGGGCUUCGGGUCGUAAAGCUCUGUUGUUAGAGAAGCGGUAACUAACCAGAAAGGGACGGCUAACUACGUGCCAGCAGCCGCGGUAAUAC
rnacentral:rRNA from 1 species